GUACGAUGAGGAAAGACUCAAGGCCAGAAGAGAGAGAAUGAACACAAGCCUGAUAUUCAGCACUGGCGCAUAAAUGCACCUGUGCUAACCUACCGACUCGGUUUUCAUUGGAGGCGUAAUCAUUAGGAACACUCACAGGAUUUCAGGACUAUUCCAGCCCUUCCCAGUUGUGGAGUUCUUAUACCACCUGCUGGAUACUUUGCAGUUCCCAUGAGAGCUGGGCAGGGCGAGGAUUCCUACCAACAUCUUACAUCCUGGGAAUUUGAGGCUCAGAGAAGGCAAGGCACCUGCCCAAGGCCACACAGCAAGUCCAUAAAAGAUCUAGGAUUCCUGGGAUUUCCCCUGCCACCUAUCCUCUCCUUCCUUCUACUUUUCCUCUCUCCUUCUGUCUUCUGUCUUUUUUAAAAAUUGUGAUUAAAAUUUACCAUCUAAA